GGUACCAGAGGGCGAGCGGACACGGUAAGUCGUAGGGGGAAGCGGUUGUCCAGAUUUGUUGGGCGGAAAGAGCCGGGAGGAGUCCAAGCAGUGCCGCUGUGAAAAGCCGAGGGUCAACCUCGAGAGGUCGGUGGAAACCGUUUGGCUAGAGUCCGGAAGAGUGGAGUGGAAUUCCCGGUGUAGCGGUGAAAUGCGCAGAUAUCGGGAAGAACACCCGUGGCGAAGGCGGCUCGCUGGGACGGUACUGACGCUGAGACGCGAAAGCGUGGGGAGCGAACAGGAUUAGAUACCCUGGUAGUC
rnacentral:rRNA from 1 species